ACACGUAGGGGCCUGACGUUGUUCGGAAUCAUUGGGCGUAAAGGGCACGCAGGCGGCCGUCCAAGUCCGGUGUUAAAUGGUCGGGCUCAACCCGAUCAUGCGCUGGAAACUGGGCGGCUUGAGUCCCGUAGGGGAUGCCGGAAUUCCAGGGGUAGGGGUGAAAUCUGUAGAUAUCUGGAAGAACACCGAUGGCGAAGGCAGGCAUCUGGCCGGAGACUGACGCUGAGGCGCGAAGGCGCGGGGAGCGAACAGGUUUAGAUACCCUGGUAGUCCGCGCAGUAAACGAUGCGCACCAGGUGUCGGGCGGCAGCGCCCGGUACCGGAGCUAACGCGAUGAGUGCGCCGCCUGGGGAGUAUGCCCGCAAGGGUGAAACUCAAAUGAAUUGGCGGGG
rnacentral:rRNA from 1 species